GAUGAACGCUGGCGGCGUGCCUAAUACAUGCAAGUCGAGCGAACAGACGAGGAGCUUGCUCCUUUGACGUUAGCGGCGGACGGGUGAGUAACACGUAGGUAACCUACCUAUAAGACUGGGAUAACUUCGGGAAACCGGAGCUAAUACCGGAUAAUAUUUCGAACCGCAUGGUUCGAUAGUGAAAGAUGGCUUUGCUAUCACUUAUAGAUGGACCUGCGCCGUAUUAGCUAGUUGGUAAGGUAACGGCUUACCAAGGCAACGAUACGUAACCGACCUGAGAGGGUGAUCGGCCACACUGGAACUGAGACACGGUCCAGACUCCUACGGGAGGCAGCAGUAGGGAAUCUUCCGCAAAGGGCGAAAGCCUGACGGAGCAACGCCGCGUGAGUGAUGAAGGUCUUCGGAUCGUAAAACUCUGUUAUUAGGGAAGAACAAACGUGUAAGUAACUGUGCACGUCUUGACGGUACCUAAUCAGAAAGCCACGGCUAACUACGUG
rnacentral:rRNA from 1 species